rnacentral:rRNA from 1 species
CCCAGACUCCUACGGGAGGCAGCAGUGGGGAAUAUUGCACAAUGGGGGGAACCCUGAUGCAGCGACGCCGCGUGGGUGAAGGAGUACUUCGGUACGUAAAGCCCUAUCAGCAGGAAAGAAAAUGACGGUACCUGACUAAGAAGCCCCGGCUAACUACGUGCCAGCAGCCGCGGUAAUACGUAGGGGGCAAGCGUUAUCCGGAUUUACUGGGUGUAAAGGGAGCGUAGACGGCAGUGCAAGUCCGGAGUGAAAGCCCGGGGCUCAACCCUGGGACUGCUCUGGAAACUGUAAAGCUGGAGUGCGGGAGGGGCAGGCGGAAUUCCUGGUGUAGCGGUGAAAUGCGUAGAUAUCAGGAGGAGCACCGGCGGCGAAGGCGGCCUGCUGGACCGUAACUGACGUUGAGGCUCGAAAGCGUGGGGAGCAAACAGGAUUAGAUACCCCCGUA